CAUUGUCCUGCAUUUUGCUUCAACUACCCCAGACUAACACGGCUACAUUUCUAUCACUAUUCUAAGCACAGCACAGCCUUCACCGAACCCUCCCUGCCUGUUCUGUGUGGAGUGGGAUGGAGCCGGAGGGGAGGAGACGUGAUGAGACUGGGGAGAUGUUCUCCCCCACCUCUGGGGAAGAGGGCGAUGGCCUGAGCGGUUUCUUGGCUGCUUUCCUUACAGAGCCCCUCACCCCCACUACUAAUCAACUCCAGGGCGCCCCACCCAGUUCUGCUGCACCUCUGUCCUGUCCUGCAGCACCCCUGGGAUUCCAGGCCUGGGUCCCCCACAUACCACCGUCACUGGUUUCUCCUUUCCUCUUGCCCAGACUAGGGUCACCCCUCAAUUGAUACACCUCGGGUAUAACCUAGUCACUGUCACCUCUUCUGAGGCGCAGGGGCACUGGAGGGGAGCCCUAGAGGCAUUACAUCUUAGCAAGCAUAGAUCCUCCUGUUCUCCCAUCCCUGGCUACAUCUCUGGAACUUACCAGGAGAUGUCAGGAUACUCAAAGCCACAGGACUGCAGCCAAGGGCCAUUGUUACUGUGCGCGGGAUGCAGCCAGCUGCAGAAGGGUGACGCGGGUACAAAACAAGGCAGCUUUCUAAUCUAGAAGCAGAGAACGCACCCAACAGUGACGCCAGCCUGGGUCUGCUGUGGAGAGCUCGGCUCUGUCCACGUGGCAGCAGGAAGCGAGUCCUGGCUCAGGCAGACAGACUCCCAUGACCAUGGCAUGAGCUAACGUGCUAAUGCCAGCUGGGGGAUGUUGCGGCUCAGACUCUCAAGCCCACCUGAGCCCCUGGCUCAGAGCAUGGCUCGCUAGCCCAGGUGGCCCCUGGAACCACAGUGUCUGGCAUGCUAGAGCUUGUAUCUCCUAUGCAUGGACAUACCCUAGAGACCUGCGACUGCCCCUUGCUUGUUAAAUGUAAGUUCAUGUGGCUGGCGGCCUGGGGCUUUGGGCACUGAAUGAGACCGGCUGGGCCCCAGACACGGGCCUGCAGUCGGGGGAGAGGAGAGUUGAGACAAAGGGGAAUGAGGGAGGUGAAUAAAAAUGGCCUUUCCCUCCAUGUGCCGGGGCCCUUUGGCAGAUAGGGGAGAAGAUCCUGCUUUGGUACGUUCCGGGGGGUGCUGAGCAGGAGCUGGAGCCUGCUGCCUUGUGCUCUCCAGCUUCCCCAAAACGUCGCUGUCGAAAGAGAAAAGAGUUUACUGGGGAGCGCCCCCGCCUGGAAUUGCCCAGCUUAGCACCGUGGCUUUCGAGUCCAGCUCCUCGGGACUGGCUGUAGGUGGUGCUAUUGGCAAGUAACUUUCCUUUCUCUCCUGUGCAGUGGCUUUUGACUUUGACUUAGGCAGGCCUGCCCUGGAGAACUGAAUGGCAGAAGUAACCCCCCUCCGCCAAGUGCCCCCCAGUCACGCAGGGGGCUGCCCUAGGCAGGAACAGGAAGUUACAUGGCCACCCCUGGCAGUGAAUCACCGCAAGCACCCCAUUUAGACCAAGCCUGGAAAUGAAUUCGCUCAGGCAGUCCACAGCCUCUGCCUGCAUCUGCUCUGGGACCCGCCUGAAAGUGCCGCUCCCACCUCAGCCACAAGGGGAGAGCCCAGGGCAGAGAAUCCGCGGUGCCUGAGCAGAGCCAGCACAUGCGAUGCUCUGCCUCCGAGCGAGAGCCACACACGGAAGGCAGCGGGUGCUUGGAGCUUCCGCCCAGUCGCUCUCCUUCCCUCUGGCCAUGGUGAAGGCUGCUCAAGUGGGAUUUGCGUAAAGCCUCUUGCUGUAAAAUAAAUCCAUUAAAGUAAAUUCUGAAAACAAAAC